CCUACAUGAAGCUGGAAUUGCUAGUAAUCACAGGUCAGCAUACUGUGGUGAAUACGUUCCCGGGCCUUGUACACACCGCCCGUCACACCAUGAGAGUUGAGAAUACCCGAAGCCCAUGUCAAAGUGGUCGAAGGUAGGUUUGAUGAUUGGGGUGAAGUCGUAACAAGGUAAC
rnacentral:rRNA from 1 species